rnacentral:rRNA from 1 species
GACGAACGCUGGCGGCGUGCUUAACACAUGCAAGUCGAACGGAAAGGCCCUGCUUUUGUGGGGUGCUCGAGUGGCGAACGGGUGAGUAACACGUGAGUAACCUGCCCUUGACUUUGGGAUAACUUCAGGAAACUGGGGCUAAUACCGGAUAGGAGCUCCUGCUGCAUGGUGGGGGUUGGAAAGUUUCGGCGGUUGGGGAUGGACUCGCGGCUUAUGAGCUUGUUGGUGGGGUAGUGGCUUACCAAGGCUUUGACGGGUAGCCGGCAUGGGAGGGUGACCGGCCACAUUGGGACUGAGGUACGGACCAGACUGCUACGGGAGGCAGCAGUGGGAAAUAUUGCACAGUGGGCGGAAGCCUGUUGCAGCAGCGCCGCGUGCGGGAUGACGGCCUUCGGGUUGUAAACCGCUUUCGCCUGUGACGAAGCGUGAGUGACGGUAAUGGGUAAAGAAGCACCGGCCAACUACGUG